GACGAACGCUGGCGGCGUGCUUAACACAUGCAAGUCGAACGGAAAGGCCCUGCUUUUGUGGGGUUCUCGAUUGCCGAACGGGUGAGUAACACGUGAGUAACCGGCCCUUGUCUUUGGGGUAACUUCAGGAAACUGGGGCUACUACCGGAUAGGAGCUCCCGCAGCAUGGUGGGGGUUGGAAAGUUUCGGCGGUCGGGGUUGGACGGGCGGCUUACCAGCUUGCUGGUGGGGUAGGGGUUGACCAAGGCUUUGACGGGUCGGCGGCCGGAGAGGGGGACCGGCCACAUGGGGACUGAGAUACGGACCAGAGUGGUACGGGAGGCAGCAGGGGGGAGUAUUGCACAAUGGGCGGGAGCCUGAUGCGGCAGCGCCGCGUGCGGGAUGACGGCCUUCGGGUUGUAAACCGCUGUAGCCUGUGACGAAGCGGGAGUGACGGUAAUGGGUAAAGAAGCACCGGCUAACUACGUG
rnacentral:rRNA from 1 species